rnacentral:rRNA from 1 species
ACUUGCGGCCAUACCACCCUGUCUGCGCCCUAUCUCAUCUGAUCUCGGAAGCUAAGCAGGGUCGGACUUGGUUAGUACGUGGAUGGGAGACUGCCUGGGAAUACCAGUUACUGUAAGCU